rnacentral:rRNA from 1 species
CUGUAAGCCUGUGAAGGUGGCCUGUGAGGGUUGCUGGAGGUAUCAGAAGUGCGAAUGCUGACAUAAGUAACGAUAAAGCGGGUGAAAAGCCCGCUCGCCGGAAGACCAAGGGUUCCUGUCCAACGUUAAUCGGGGCAGGGUGAGUCGACCCCUAAGGCGAGGCCGAAAGGCGUAGUCGAUGGGAAACAGGUUAAUAUUCCUGUACUUGGUGUUACUGCGAAGGGGGGACGGAGAAGGCUAUGUUGGCCGGGCGACGGUUGUCCCGGUUUAAGCGUGUAGGCUGGUUUUCCAGGCAAAUCCGGAAAACCAAGGCUGAGGCGUGAUGACGAGGCACUACGGUGCUGAAGCGACAAAUGCCCUGCUUCCAGGAAAAGCCUCUAAGCAUCAGGUAACAUCAAAUCGUACCCCAAACCGACACAGGUGGUCAGGUAGAGAAUACCAAGGCGCUUGAGAGAACUCGGGUGAAGGAACUAGGCAAAAUGGUGCCGUAACUUCGGGAGAAGGCACGC